CGCUGGCGGCGUGCCUAACACAUGCAAGUCGAACGGAGUUCCGCCCUUCGGGACGGAACUUAGUGGCGAACGGGUGAGUAACGCGUGAAGAACCUGCCUUUCAGUGGGGGACAACAGUCGGAAACGACUGCUAAUACCGCAUAAUACUUUUUGAGGGCAUCCUUAAAAAGUCAAAGCUUAAUGUGCUGAAAGAUGGCUUCGCGUCUGAUUAGCUAGUUGGCGGGGUAACGGCCCACCAAGGCGACGAUCAGUAGCCGGUCUGAGAGGAUGAACGGCCACAUUGGGACUGAGAUACGGCCCAGACUCCUACGGGAGGCAGCAGUGGGGAAUAUUGGGCAAUGGGGGAAACCCUGACCCAGCAACGCCGCGUGAAGGAAGAAGGCCUUCGGGUUGUAAACUUCUUUUACCAGGGACGAAGGACGUGACGGUACCUGGAGAAAAAGCAACGGCUAACUACGUGCCAGCAGCCGCGGUAAUACGUAGGUUGCAAGCGUUGUCCGGAUUUACUGGGUGUAAAGGGCGUGUAGGCGGAGGCGCAAGUUGGGAGUGAAAUCUAAGGGCUCAACCCAUAAACUGCUCUCAAAACUGUGCCCCUUGAGUAUCGGAGAGGCAAGCGGAAUUCCUAGUGUAGCGGUGAAAUGCGUAGAUAUUAGGAGGAACACCAGUGGCGAAGGCGGCUUGCUGGACGACAACUGACGCUGAGGCGCGAAAGCGUGGGGAGCAAACAGGAUUAGAUACCCUGGUAGUCCACACUGUAAACGAUGAAUACUAGGUGUGGGAGGACUGACCCCUUCCGUGCCGCAGUUAACACAAUAAGUAUUCCACCUGGGGAGUACGACCGCAAGGUUGCAACUCAAAUGAAUUGACGGA
rnacentral:rRNA from 2 species